rnacentral:rRNA from 1 species
CAGCAGCCGCGGGAAUACGGAGGGUGCAAGCGUUAUCCGGAUUUAUUGGGUUUAAAGGGUCCGUAGGCGGACUUAUAAGUCAGUGGUGAAAGCCUGUCGCUUAACGAUAGAACUGCCAUUGAUACUGUAAGUCUUGAGUAUAUUUGAGGUAGCUGGAAUAAGUAGUGUAGCGGUGAAAUGCAUAGAUAUUACUUAGAACACCAAUUGCGAAGGCAGGUUACCAAGAUAUAACUGACGCUGAGGGACGAAAGCGUGGGUAGCGAACAGGAUUAGAUACCCGGGUAGUACCUGUCUCUUAUAC